UUCUGUGAUGAAGCUGCUAUGUAGGAAGUGCCGUCUGAUGCGAUAACUGACGAUGGCGAAGCAAAAUCAGCCUGAGA
ensembl:snoRNA